CACGUAGGGCGCAAGCGUUGUCCGGAAUUAUUGGGCGUAAAGAGCUCGUAGGCGGUCUGUUGCGUCCGCUGUGAACACCCGGGGCUUAACCCUGGGCUGGCAGUGGAUACGGACAGACUAGAGGUAGGUAGGGGAGAAUGGAAUUCCCGGUGUAGCGGUGAAAUGCGCAGAUAUCGGGAGGAACACCGGUGGCGAAGGCGGCAUCCUGGACCAACACUGACACUGAGGAGCGAAAGCCAGGGGAGCAAACGGGGAGUUAG
rnacentral:rRNA from 1 species